GGAUUUUAAAAAGAAGCUACAGCCGUUUUUUGGAGUUAAAAAAGGACCUAAGACCUUCCUUCUUCAAAAAACUUAACAAAACCCCUAGAAAAGAUAAGAUUCUUCUUCAACCUAAAACAAAAACCCUAGCGACCAAACAGAUCUAGCCGUCAUCUUCUCCAAGCAGCAGCCUGUCUCCCUCACCAACCCAUUCCUCUCCUGGUGAUGCUGCCAGCAACAGAACAACGGCAAACUCGCCGGAAAAUGCACAAAAACCAGAUGCAAAUCUCCACCUCCUCAACCAAAGAAUGGGACUGAAAUAGCCACGAAAAUCUCCACCACCACCAGCCCGUUUCAGCCACGAAAAGCUAUCACUUUAGCUAUGAGAAAGAGCAACCAAAAAGCCCCAACAAGACAGAGGAUCUCUGGAUCGAUGUACCCACAAAAGUCUUUGUUUUAAUAUCAUGGAUGUACUCACGUUAAGAUCAGUUCAUGCUUCUCUGUUUGAGUCAAACUUUGGUUUCAAAAAUAGAUUUCGUGUGAGAUCCAUUUGGAGUUGACGAGCGAGGUUGCUGGUUUGAGGUUCGUCGUGGUCGAAUUUGAGUUUGUCGAAUUUCAAUUUGUUGGUUUUAUUGUCAAUUUUCCGUCGCUUAGCAUUUUCAAGCUGUCAAACAAUCAUAUUUCAGAUUUGUUCAAAGUCUAUUUCUCCCUUUCUCCUACUAUUUUGCCUUAGUUCCAUGUUUAUGUUGUGUUGAUCUUUUAAUUAAGGUUUCGUUGUUGUUUGUGAUGCCUUAAUAGUGUUUGUGUCGUUUUCUUUGUUCUGAUAAUAUAAUGUUUGGGUGUUUCCUUCGUGAAUUUGUAUUCGGAUGGAAUUCAGUGGUUGAAAUAAGUUCCUUUGUAUUCCUGUCAUAGUGCUUUCGUUGAAAAUAAACGUCCCAUAGUUUAGAAUCAAAUUUUGACGAAGAAAGGUUAAGUUAACUUGAUUAAGUAAUUUGAUUGCCCUUCUCCUUUUUUUUGAAUGUGGGGAUUGGACAUCUAGAAUGAAAAUCAAACUUACCAAUUUACUUUGCCUGCUCGGACCAUUAGGAGCAUGUUUAGGCCUACCACACCCGGGUAGGCGAACCUUUAGGCACGUAAUUAAAUCAUCACAACUACGGGUAUGGUUUCCAUGGCGUAGUUGUGAUAAUUAAUCUCAAAUUAGUUUUAAAUAUGAACAUCCGUAGGCCACUUAGUUGAAUGCUUUUCCUUUAAUAAAAUUGAGGUGUGCCAUUCAAACACCUAGUCUAUGGCCCUCACAUCGAUAGUUGUGACACCUAAUUUCUAAAUCCGGUGGUACAUUUAUGUGACCCGGCCAUAAUUUAAUCUUAUUAAGAAAAUAAACAUGUUAUGGAUCAUGGGUAAGGUUCCCGUGACAUGAUUCGCAACGUGUAAUCAAAUAAUUAGUUGUUUGACAAUUUGAUUAUUAAAAGCGGUUUAAAAGGAAUAAAAAUGCACAUGGGUUGCAAAGAUGUUUUAAAAUCAGAUAAAUAGGCCAAUAAUAAUAGUUAAGCGACCGUGCUAGAACCACGGAAUCCGGGAUUGCCUAACACUUUCUCCCGGGUUAACACAAUUUCUUACCCGGAUUUUUGUGUUUGCAGACCAUAAGUAGAGUCAACUUUUCUCGAUUCGGGAUUUUAAACCGGUGACUUGGGACACCAUAAACUAUCCCCAAGUGGCGACUCUGAUUUUAAUAUAAAUAAUCCCGUUUCGAUUGUUACUUAAAUUGGAAAAAACUCCAUUAUACCGCUUUCCUUCGGGGUGGUAAAAAGGAGGUGUGACAACUCUGACGACUCUGCUGGGGAUGAGAACCCAGAACUUCUGGUUCAAGGUUCAAGAAUUCGAUCUUAGAAUAGUUGUUAUAUUUGGCUUUAUUUAUUAUCUGAUUUUAUUUACAUGUUUGGGCUUAAUGUGCUAAAUGUUGCUUUUUACUGCUUUGAUAUUAUCUGAACUGUAUAUAAACUGCUACGAAACCCCUCUCUUUUAAUCUUCUGAGAAGUGCACGCUGGCAUGACUUCUUUCUGUUAGUGUCAUACCCUAAUUCAGAACGAGGUACGGACAAGUUGCGUAGUCAGAUGAUAUUUUGGUUACCGAUACGCUCCCCCCCCCCCGGCUCUAGUUGUUCGCUCGGGUAAGCCAGGUCGAGAAUAAUACACCCAGGUUUUAAACCUAGAAUAACACAGCCUCAUGCCGGAUCUCUAGUAGGAACGUUUGUUUGCAUCAUGUGCAUUUGACUUUGGGGACUCAACACAGGGGUUGGGUCCGUCUAGGACAAGUGUACCCAAAAAAAUAAAUGAUCAUCCUGAUGCAUUCUAUGUGCUACAUGUUGCAAUCUUCAAGGGUAAAAGAGGUCAUUUGGCGGACAAAUGAGGGUUGGGGAUAAAUGAAAAAAAGAGGGUGAAGUAUAAAAAAUAAAGCAAGCAGGGCCCAGUUAUAAUUUUCUUUCAUGUAUUUUCAAGAAAAGACCAAAAAAUUGAAAAUGAAAAAAAAAAUCCAAAAAGAAUUUUGCACUUUCCCAUAAAAAAAAAGAGGAAAAAGAAAAUCCAAAAAGAUUUUACAUGUUUCAUCAUUUUCAAGGAAAAGACAAAAAAAAAUAUAUUCUCUAAAUUAGUUGUUUUUUUUAUUUCUCCCGUAUCCAAUUUGCCCGAACUACGCGAACCCGAUUCUCGUCUCUUGGGGCGGGGUACGUAGGCAACCCACAUAGGAUCCGGUCUUCCUAGUGAAUCUUAUGUUCUUGGCUUCGCGAGGUCUUAGCCAAAUCUUGUAUUUUUAGUCACUUUUAGCCACAGGUUAAUUUUAGAAAAAUAGUCACAAUCAUGUCUUGCAUGUGUCCAACAGGAAGGGUUAUUGUCUCACAUAGUGUUCUAGGUCUUUAAAUUAUUUGGUUUUAAUUUUCUCAUACAGGUGUGGGUUUACUUACCGGAGUUUGAGCAUGACAGACGCCCGGGACCAUCCAGCCAGGAUCGCUCAUUCAGGAGUUGCUUAGGGGGAUUUUUUUAUUUUUAUUAUUCUUAUUUUUUUAUAUUUUGAGUCUGUUUUUCUUUUAUGUCGUC
rnacentral:lncRNA from 1 species